UCCAGAGAGAUUCUUUGCUGAAUGGCUGC
rnacentral:piRNA from 1 species